UUCCGGUUGAUCCUGCCGGACCCGACUGCUAUCAGAGUGAGAUUAAGCCAUGUGAGUCAUUGUAGCAAUACGUGGCAUACGGCUCAGUAACACGUAGUCAACAUGCCCAGGGGACGUGGAUAACCUCGGGAAACUGAGAAUAAACCACGAUAGGUCACGAUUUCUGGAAUGGAUCAUGGCCUAAAUCUAUAUGGCCCCUGGAUUGGACUGCGGCCGAUCAGGCUGUUGGUGAGGUAAUGGCCCACCUAACCUGUAACCGGUACGGGCUCUGAGAGGAGGAGCCCGGAGAUGGGCACUGAGACAAGGGCCCAGGCCCUAUGGGGCGCAGCAGGCGCGAAACCUCUGCAAUAGGCGAAAGCUUGACAGGGUUACUCUGAGUGAUUUCCGUUAAGGAGAUCUUUUGGCACCUCUAAAAAUGGUGCAGAAUAAGGGGUGGGCAAGUCUGGUGCCAGCCGCCGCGGUAAUACCAGCACCCCGAGUGGUCGGGACGAUUAUUGGGCCUAAAGCAUCCGUAGCCGGUCCUGCAAGUCUUCCGUUAAAUCCAGCUGCUCAACAGAUGGGCUGCGGGAGAUACUACAGGGCUAGGAGGCGGGAGAGGCAAGCGGUACUUUAUGGGUAGGGGUAAAAUCCGCUGAUCCAUAGAAGACCACCAGUGGCGAAGGCGGCUUGCCAGAACGCGCUCGACGGUGAGGGAUGAAAGCUGGGGGAGCAAACCGGAUUAGAUACCCGGGUAGUCCCAG
rnacentral:rRNA from 1 species